rnacentral:rRNA from 1 species
UAAUGAUGAAAUUUAACGGAUUUGGCGGCAAGACAGACCAUUUAGAGGAACCUGCCCUGUAAACGAUGAUCCACGAAUAAUUCUACUCUUAAUAGUAAACAGUUUGUAUACCGCUGUUGACAGUUAGUUUCUUUAGAAAACUUUCGUUAAUGAUAUAAUCAUAAACUUCAAGUAAAGGUGCAGCUAAUUUAGGAGAUAGAGGUGGGUUACAAUUAGAAAGAUUAAAACGGAUAAAAAUAUGAAAAAUUUUUUGAAGGUGGAUUUAAUAGUAAAGCUUUUAGAAGUUUGAUAAGAGCACUGUCUUGUGUACACAC